rnacentral:rRNA from 41 species
ACGCGACCCCAGGUCAGGCGGGGCUACCCGCUGAGUUU